rnacentral:rRNA from 1 species
AGCCUGAUGCAGCCAUGCCGCGUGUGUGAAGAAGGCCUUCGGGUUGUAAAGCACUCUUUAGUCGUGAGGAAGGUAGUGUAGUUAAUAGCUGCAUUAUUUGACGUUAGCGACAGAAGAAGCACCGGCUAACUCCGUGCCAGCAGCCGCGGUAAUACGGAGGGUGCGAGCGUUAAUCGGAAUUACUGGGCGUAAAGCGCAUGCAGGUGGUUUGUUAAGUCAGAUGUGAAAGCCCGGGGCUCAACCUCGGAAUAGCAUUUGAAACUGGCAGACUAGAGUACUGUAGAGGGGGGUAGAAUUUCAGGUGUAGCGGUGAAAUGCGUAGAGAUCUGAAGGAAUACCGGUGGCGAAGGCGGCCCCCUGGACAGAUACUGACACUCAGAUGCGAAAGCGUGGGGAGCAAACAGGAUUAGAUACCCUGGUAGUCCACGCCGUAAACGAUGUCUACUUGGAGGUUGUGGCCUUGAGCCGUGGCUUUCGGAGCUAACGCGUUAAGUAGACCGCCUGG